rnacentral:rRNA from 1 species
GCUAGCAGCCAUGUCGCCCUGUAACACAACUGACAACUGGCAACCCACUGAAGCUCAGCAGGUGUGAGCCUGCUCAGUACCUGGAUGGGAGACCUCCUGGGAAAAACUAAGGUUGCUGCUGGAA